GACGAACGCUGGCGGCGUGCCUAAUACAUGCAAGUCGAGCGCAGGAAGCUCACGGAACUCUUCGGAGGGAAGUGAAGGGAAUGAGCGGCGGACGGGUGAGUAACACGUAAGGAACCUGCCCCAAGGAUUGGGAUAACUCCGAGAAAUCGGAGCUAAUACCGAAUAGUUCUUCAGACCGCAUGGUCUGUGAUGAUGAAAGGCGCUUCGGCGUCACCUUGGGAUGGCCUUGCGGUGCAUUAGCUAGUUGGUGGGGUAAUGGCCCACCAAGGCGACGAUGCAUAGCCGACCUGAGAGGGUGAUCGGCCACACUGGGACUGAGACACGGCCCAGACUCCUACGGGAGGCAGCAGUAGGGAAUCUUCCACAAUGGACGAAAGUCUGAUGGAGCAACGCCGCGUGAGUGAUGAAGGUUUUCGGAUCGUAAAACUCUGUUGUAAGGGAAGAACAGCAGGUAGUUAAAUAAGCUACUUGUAUGACGGUACCUUAUUAGAAAGCCACGGCUAACUACGUGCCAGCAGCCGCAGUAACAC
rnacentral:rRNA from 1 species